CUCGGCCCUGGCCCUGGCCCUGCCCGUGGCCUGUCCUUGCCCCUGGCCCUGUCCUUGUCCUUGUCCCUGCCCCUGCCCCUACCCCUGGCCCUGCCCCUGGCCCUGCCCCUGUCCCUGUCCUUGUCCCUGCCCCUGACCCUACCCCUGGCCCUGCCCCUGCCCCUGUCCUUGUCCCUGCCCCUGGCCCUACCCCUGCCCUUGCCCUUGCUCUUGUCCCUGCCCCUGUCCUUGCCCCUGUCCUUGUCCCUGCCCUUAUCCCUGCCCCUGUCCUUGCCCCUGCCCUUGUCCUUGCCCUUGCCCUUGUCCCUGCCCUUCUCCUUGUCCCUGUCCAUGUCCCUGCCCUUGUCCUUGUCCCUGUCCCUGCCCCUGUCCAUGCCCCUGCCCUUGUCCCUGCCCUUGUUCCUGCCCUUGUCCCUGUCACUAGCCCUGCUCCUGCCCCAGCUCCUGCCUCUGCUCAUCUCCCGUCCCCUGCCCCUAUCAGACAGGACCUUGUUUGCUCCCUGUUCUCACUCUGUCCCCUCUGCCCUGUCCUCUGCCCUGUCCUCUGCCCCAGCCAGCCCCCCUGCCUGCUCACCUGCCCCUUCUCACGUCCCAUCACCACUCCUGGCUCUCUCACUCCUCCUGACCCGCACCUGCCUGGCCAUGACUCUGUCCAUGUCACCCUUCCCAUCACAAGCUUACUCUGGAAAAACCUGUCAGGCAGGGCUCAGAGGUCCCCGGUGCAGCUGUUUUAACCUCGUGCAGGUUUCCAAGGCCCCUUCCAUGAAGAGCCACGAUAUUUGGUCUCUGGCUGAAUGGACAGAGGAGAGUGGCUGGUUAUUUGGCAUCACGUGAGUCUCAAUACUUUUGCGUUGCUGUCUUUCUUCAUGCCCUGGCUUUAUUGUGUGCUGUAAGAAUUUGUUUUCUUUGUUGUUAUCCAGUAGGAUUUUUACAUCUUUGGAGAUCUUGUUUAAUUUGUUUUCCAACCUGGAACAUUAAAUGUUCUUAAAGCAGAGCAGAAUUUGUGUUCUCUCAUAAUCAGAUAAAAACAGAUAAUAAUCAUAAUCAGAAAAAAAUUAUCAAAGGAAAAAAAACCCCAAUGUUUUCUAAAAUGUGUGUGACUAAACACAGCUCAAUAAAGUCAUAGUGCUGUCCUCCUGAUUGAAAGAG
rnacentral:lncRNA from 1 species